rnacentral:rRNA from 1 species
AGGUAAGCUACUAAGAGCGAAUGGUGGAUGCCUUGACUGGUAAAGGCGAUGAAGGACGUACUAGACUGCGAUAAGCUACGGGGAGCUGUCAAGAAGCUUUGAUCCGUAGAUUUCCGAAUGGGGCAACCCAAUGUAUAGAGAUAUACAUUACCUAUAUAGGAGCGAACGAGGGGAAUUGAAACAUCUUAGUACCCUCAGGAAAAGAAAUCAAUAGAGAUUGCGUCAGUAGCGGCGAGCGAAAGCGCAAGAGGGCAAACCCAGUGCUUGCACUGGGGGUUGUAGGACUGCAAUGUGCAAGAGGUAAGUUUAGCAGAACAUUCUGGAAAGUAUAACCAUAGAGGGUGAUAGUCCCGUAUGCGAAAAACAAACCUUAGCUAGCAGUAUCCUGAGUAGGGCGGGACACGAGGAAUCCUGUCUGAAUCCGGGUCGACCACGAUCCAACCCUAAAUACUAAUACCAGAUCGAUAGUGCACAAGUACCGUGAGGGAAAGGUGAAAAGAACUGAGGUGAUCAGAGUGAAAUAGAACCUGAAACCAUUUGCUUACAAUCAUUCAGAGCCCUAUGUAGCAAUACAGGGUGAUGGACUGCCUUUUGCAUAAUGAGCCUGCGAGUUGUGGUGUCUGGCAAGGUUAAGCAAACGCGAAGCCGUAGCGAAAGCGAGUCUGAAUAGGGCGCUUAGUCAGAUGCUGCAGACCCGAAACGAAGUGAUCUAUCCAUGAGCAAGUUGAAGCUAGUGUAAGAACUAGUGGAGGACUGAACCCAUAGGCGUUGAAAAGCCCCGGGAUGACUUGUGGAUAGGGGUGAAAGGCCAAUCAAACUUCGUGAUAGCUGGUUCUCUCCGAAAUAUAUUUAGGUAUAGCGUUGUGUCGUAAUAUAAGGGGGUAGAGCACUGAAUGGGCUAGGGCAUACACCAAUGUACCAAACCCUAUCAAACUCCGAAUACCUUAUAUGUAAUCACAGCAGUCAGGCGGCGAGUGAUAAAAUCCGUCGUCAAGAGGGAAACAACCCAGACUACCAGCUAAGGUCCCUAAAUCUUACUUAAGUGGAAAACGAUGUGAAGUUACUUAAACAACCAGGAGGUUGGCUUAGAAGCAGCCAUCCUUUAAAGAAAGCGUAAUAGCUCACUGGUCUAGUGAUUUUGCGCGGAAAAUAUAACGGGGCUAAAGUAAGUACCGAAGCUGUAGACUUAGUUUACUAAGUGGUAGGAGAGCGUUCUAUUUGCGUCGAAGGUAUACCGGUAAGGAGUGCUGGAGCGAAUAGAAGUGAGCAUGCAGGCAUGAGUAGCGAUAAUUAAUGUGAGAAUCAUUAACGCCGUAAACCCAAGGUUUCCUACGCGAUGCUCGUCAUCGUAGGGUUAGUCGGGUCCUAAGUCGAGUCCGAAAGGGGUAGACGAUGGCAAAUUGGUUAAUAUUCCAAUACCAACAUUAGUGUGCGAUGGAAGGACGCUUAGGGCUAAGGGGGCUAGCGGAUGGAAGUGCUAGUCUAAGGUUGUAGGAGGUUGUACAGGCAAAUCCGUAUAACAAUACUCCGAGAACUGAAAGGCUUUUUGAAGUCUUCGGAUGGAUAGAAGAACCCCUGAUGCCGUCGAGCCAAGAAAAGUUUCUAAGUUUAGCUAAUGUUGCCCGUACCGUAAACCGACACAGGUGGGUGGGAUGAGUAUUCUAAGGCGCGUGGAAGAACUCUCUUUAAGGAACUCUGCAAAAUAGCACCGUAUCUUCGGUAUAAGGUGUGGUUAGCUUUGUAUUAGGAUUUACUCCGAAAGCAAGGAAACUUACAACAAAGAGUCCCUCCCGACUGUUUACCAAAAACACAGCACUCUGCUAACUCGUAAGAGGAUGUAUAGGGUGUGACGCCUGCCCGGUGCUCGAAGGUUAAUUGAUGGGGUUAGCAUUAGCGAAGCUCUUGAUCGAAGCCCGAGUAAACGGCGGCCGUAACUAUAACGGUCCUAAGGUAGCGAAAUUCCUUGUCGGUUAAAUACCGACCUGCAUGAAUGGCGUAACGAGAUGGGAGCUGUCUCAAAGAGGGAUCCAGUGAAAUUGUAGUGGAGGUGAAAAUUCCUCCUACCCGCGGCAAGACGGAAAGACCCCGUGGACCUU